UGCAGAAACCCUAUACCUAACCAGAAAUUUAACAUGACCAGUUCCACGGUUUAUCAGAAAGUUUCUCAAUUAAUAUGUAUAUGCUAGAUAUGUAGUACGGAUGCCGAAGAAUAAUGUAAUGUUCAAUGUCCAAGUACUGUCCAGUACCACGCGCAGCUCACGCGCAUGCCACCACUGGGCCGUCACGUCGGGAGCCUCCCGGACGAAGUCGCUGGUACAGCUGGGUUAAUCAUAAAAUUAAUUUAAAUUAAAAAGAAUUGUUCUUUUAAUAAAAUGAUUAUGUCUUUUA